GUCGAGCGGUAGCACAGAGAGCUUGCUCUCGGGUGACGAGCGGCGGACGGGUGAGUAAUGUCUGGGAAACUGCCUGAUGGAGGGGGAUAACUACUGGAAACGGUAGCUAAUACCGCAUAAUGUCGCAAGACCAAAGUGGGGGACCUUCGGGCCUCAUGCCAUCAGAUGUGCCCAGAUGGGAUUAGCUAGUAGGUGGGGUAACGGCUCACCUAGGCGACGAUCCCUAGCUGGUCUGAGAGGAUGACCAGCCACACUGGAACUGAGACACGGUCCAGACUCCUACGGGAGGCAGCAGUGGGGAAUAUUGCACAAUGGGCGCAAGCCUGAUGCAGCCAUGCCGCGUGUGUGAAGAAGGCCUUCGGGUUGUAAAGCACUUUCAGCGGGGAGGAAGGCGUUAAGGUUAAUAACCUUGGCGAUUGACGUUACCCGCAGAAGAAGCACCGGCUAACUCCGUGCCAGCAGCCGCGGUAAUACGGAGGGUGCAAGCGUUAAUCGGAAUUACUGGGCGUAAAGCGCACGCAGGCGGUCUGUCAAGUCGGAUGUGAAAUCCCCGGGCUCAACCUGGGAACUGCAUUCGAAACUGACAGGCUAGAGUCUUGUAGAGGGGGGUAGAAUUCCAGGUGUAGCGGUGAAAUGCGUAGAGAUCUGGAGGAAUACCGGUGGCGAAGGCGGCCCCCUGGACAAAGACUGACGCUCAGGUGCGAAAGCGUGGGGAGCAAACAGGAUUAGAUACCCUGGUAGUCCACGCCGUAAACGAUGUCGAUUUGGAGGUUGUGCCCUUGAGGCGUGGCUUCCGGAGCUAACGCGUUAAAUCGACCGCCUGGGGAGUACGGCCGCAAGGUUAAAACUCAAAUGAAUUGACGGGGGCCCGCACAAGCGGUGGAGCAUGUGGUUUAAUUCGAUGCAACGCGAAGAACCUUACCUGGUCUUGACAUCCACAGAACUUAGCAGAGAUGCUUUGGUGCCUUCGGGAACUGUGAGACAGGUGCUGCAUGGCUGUCGUCAGCUCGUGUUGUGAAAUGUUGGGUUAAGUCCCGCAACGAGCGCAACCCUUAUCCUUUGUUGCCAGCGGUUAGGCCGGGAACUCAAAGGAGACUGCCAGUGAUAAACUGGAGGAAGGUGGGGAUGACGUCAAGUCAUCAUGGCCCUUACGACCAGGGCUACACACGUGCUACAAUGGCAUAUACAAAGAGAAGCGACCUCGCAAGAGCAAGCGGACCUCAUAAAGUAUGUCGUAGUCCGGAUUGGAGUCUGCAACUCGACUCCAUGAAGUCGGAAUCGCUAGUAAUCGUAGAUCAGAA
rnacentral:rRNA from 1 species